GGGGGUGUAGUUCAGUGGUAGAAUAGAGGUCUCCAAAACCUUUGACGGGGGUUCAAUUCCCUCCACCCCUG
rnacentral:tRNA from 1 species